GAUGAACGCUGGCGGCGUGCCUAAUACAUGCAAGUCGAGCGAACAGAUAAGGAGCUUGCUCCUUUGACGUUAGCGGCGGACGGGUGAGUAACACGUGGGUAACCUACCUAUAAGACUGGGAUAACUUCGGGAGACCGGAGCUAAUACCGGAUAACAUUUGGAACCGCAUGGUUCUAAAGUGAAAGAUGGUUUUGCUAUCACUUAUAGAUGGACCCGCGCCGUAUUAGCUAGUUGGUAAGGUAACGGCUUACCAAGGCGACGAUACGUAGCCGACCUGAGAGGGUGAUCGGCCACACUGGAACUGAGACACGGUCCAGACUCCUACGGGAGGCAGCAGUAGGGAAUCUUCCGCAAUGGGCGAAAGCCUGACGGAGCAACGCCGCGUGAGUGAUGAAGGGUUUCGGCUCGUAAAACUCUGUUAUUAGGGAAGAACAAAUGUGUAAGUAACUGUGCACGUCUUGACGGUACCUAAUCAGAAAGCCACGGCUAACUACGUG
rnacentral:rRNA from 1 species